rnacentral:misc_RNA from 1 species
GUAGGUGAACCUGCGGAAGGAUCAUUAAACAUGCGAUGUUCUGGGGGGAAUACUUUAUAAUAUUGCUUAAGGCUCCACGUUCUGUGUGCUACGUCUCGAGAAUGGGGGAGUUACUUAUGUAGUAACAAAGCUACCCGCAAGCAUUGACUUUUGAGUGGUGUCUGUGUUUAGAACACCGACACAAGGUGUUAAGUCCAGCCUAGCUGGGCCAUCUUGUGAGCGUCAACACCACUCAUUGCACUUUUUGUGAACAAGUACCAACCCAAUUUUUAUUAUAGUCUGAUGUUAUUUUAUGUUCUUUAUUGAACAAAUUAAAUUUUUAAUAUUAAAUAACUUUUAACAAUGGAUCUCUUGGCUCUC